CGCCUUCAUAAACCUCUUACUCCUUGUCAUCACAGCAUUGCAUUCCUCCUUGGGAUUCUUUUUUGUAUUCCCCACAAAACUGUUGGAUGACUUGUCAGCUAUCUGCUUGGCCAAUUGUCCCACCUGGACCUCAAGGUUUUUCAGUGUUGACUCAGUGCUUUUAUGAUUUGACAUCGUUACCUGCAUAAACUAAGUCAAAGUCUCCUCCAGCUUAGUAGUCCACUGAAAGAUGUUAGGACCUUGUUGGAUUGGCCUGUUCAAAGGUCCACCCUGGUCUUUGUUGAAUUGAUUGCUAGGGUGUGAUCUCCACUAUCCUUGUUGAUUAUAAGGACCUUGCUGGAAGCCUGAAAAUCCUCCUUGAGUAUAUCCUUGUCUCUUUUGAUUUCCCAUAUAGUGAACUUCUUUAGUAUUUUCUUCAAUAGAAAUACAUUGGCCUGUUUCUUAAGCCUCACCACAGAUGGUACAACCUGUAACCUGCAAAACAGAAGAAUGUGUAGGUUGACCAAUAGACAGUUUAGUUGGCAACUUACCAAGUGUUUCUGUUAAAAUCUCAAUUUUCUUAGAAAGCAACUUAUUCUGUGCCAAUAAAGCAUCAUGUGAUGAUAGUUCUAACAAGCUUUUCUUUGUGGGUUGAUGAACUCUAUCGUGCAGAAUAGCAUGAUCAC
rnacentral:lncRNA from 1 species